GCUGGGUGCGGUGGCUCACACCUGUAAUCCCAGCACUUUGGGAGGCUGAGGCGGGAGGAUCGUUUGAGCCCAGGAGUUUGAGGUUAGCCUGAGCAACAUAGCGAGACCCUGUCUCUA
rfam:Gorilla gorilla gorilla genomic chromosome, chr7, whole genome shotgun sequence